rnacentral:rRNA from 1 species
GGAUGCGAUCAUACCAGCACUAAAUCACCGGAUCCCAUCAGAACUUCGAAGUUAAUCGUGCUUGGGCGAGGGUAGUACUAGGAUGGGUGACCUCCUGGGAAGUCCUCGUGUUGCAUUCC